GUAUUGCUGCUAGAGCAGGAGGAAUACUGUCUGUAUCUCAUCCUCUGGUCCUGGAAACAUGGCACAGGGAGGAAGAAUUGGGCACGAUGCGAACUGCAUUCAAUUCCUUCAUCAACCAAGCCAACGUAAUGAAUGGUUAAUUUGAAAAUACUUGGCAAGGGGGAUGAGAGUUUUAUUUCAAGAGACCCCCAAACAGGCAAAAUCUGGAUUUUAGAUUUGAAGGGUGAAAGAGCCCAGAGUCCGAAGGAAAAAUACGUGAUAGCACGAUCGUAAAAAAAUCUCCUAAUGCACAAUAAAUGCAUUCCUUUCUCUGCAUUCUAACUACAGUGCAUUCUUCUUGAAAGGUUUGAAGCAGGUUUUAAAGACUGAUUAAGAGGAAAUUCGGUAAUCAUUGACCAUCAUUUGUGUCUGUGCAGGUGAGAUGAAAAGGAAUUGGAAGAGGAGAGAAAAUAAAGAGAAAGGCAAGCCAGAAGUGCACUCUGUCCUAAAAACAAUCGGACUCCUACUGCAGAAUCACCCACAUUUUGGGUCAAGCUGACUGAAUUCUGCAGCUUCUAUAAAUGUUGAAAAAUUGCGCAAUUGAGGAAUUUGUUUCUGAUCUCCCAAAUGCGGGGAUGAGCUAUGAGGUUGUUGUAAAUCAAAUUAUCUACGGCCUCUAAGCUAGCCUCUCUCAAACUUGGGUUCCCUGGUAUUUGUUGGACUACAACUCCCAUCAUUCCUUACCACUGGUCUUCAUAGCUAGGGAUGAUGGGAGUUGUAGUCCGAUAACAUCUGGGGACCCAGAUUUGAGAAAAGCUGCAAGUACUGG